rnacentral:tRNA from 1 species
GCCGAAGUGGCGGAACUGGCAGACGCGCCGGACUCAAAAUCCGGUGCCCGAGAGGGCGUGUGGGUUCGAUUCCCACCUUCGGCA